UACGUAGGGGGCGAGCGUUGUCCGGAGUUACUGGGCGUAAAGGGCAUGCAGGCGGUCGGACGCGUUUCUAGUGACAGCGGGUGGCUUACCUACCCGAGGAUUGGAAAGACGGUUUGACUUGAGGACUCGAGAGGGACACGGAAUUCCGGGUGGAGUGGUGAAAUGCGUAGAGAUCCGGAGGAACAUCAAAGGCGAAGGCAGUGUCCUGGCGAGUAACUGACGCUGAGGUGCGAAAGCUAGGGGAGCGAACGGG
rnacentral:rRNA from 1 species